GCCUACGGCCAUACCACCCUGAAAGCGCCCGAUCUCGGAAGCUAACCAGGGACGGGCCUGGUUAGUACCUGGAUGGGAGACCGCCUUGGAAUACCAGGUGUUGUAGGCU
rnacentral:rRNA from 1 species